rnacentral:rRNA from 1 species
UGGGGAAUAUUGCACAAUGGGCGCAAGCCUGAUGCAGCCAUGCCGCGUAUAUGAAGAAGGCCUUCGGGUUGUAAAGUACUUUCAGCGAGGAGGAAGGCGUUGUGGUUAAUAACCGCAACGAUUGACGUUACUCGCAGAAGAAGCACCGGCUAACUCCGUGCCAGCAGCCGCGGUAAUACGGAGGGUGCAAGCGUUAAUCGGAAUUACUGGGCGUAAAGCGCACGCAGGCGGUCUGUCAAGUCGGAUGUGAAAUCCCCGGGCUCAACCUGGGAACUGCAUCCGAAACUGGCAGGCUAGAGUCUUGUAGAGGGGGGUAGAAUUCCAGGUGUAGCGGUGAAAUGCGUAGAGAUCUGGAGGAAUACCGGUGGCGAAGGCGGCCCCCUGGACAAAGACUGACGCUCAGGUGCGAAAGCGUGGGGAGCAAACA